AAUAUGUUGGCAUACAGCUGACAACAUAAUUGCUACUAACACUACUGGAGCGGAGAACCGUCUGUGGCUACUAAUACCGACGUUUGAAUGAGGAAUUAAUAGGUUAUAUUCUCGUUAGCGCUUCAGUUAUUGAUAAAUGCCAUCUAAAAAACCCGCAUGGCUGCUCAAAUGUGAUUAACAGAACUGACACGUGUCAUACGCAUAAACCCCCUCCUCAUCCUGUACGGAGUGAUCAAAGCUACAUGCUAGGUCUCGUGUCUGUUAGUAACUGACAAACGGGUACGUACCGAGUUCUGAGGCGAUGGCGGAUGUGGACUCUUCCAUUCCGCAUGGAAUUUGCUAUCUGGGUGUGGUUGUCCGUAUUGUUGACUGCUGGGCACUUUGUGCUAGGUGAUUAGGACAUAUUUUCACUGUGAUUGUUUUAAAAUUGUUAUCUGCUUUUGAAAGUGUUUAUCUUUAUGGUUUAUUGUGUUAAUGUAUUACUUGGCUGCUCUCCUGAGCCAAUGGCCCUGUUCGUACAGCUCCUACAUGUCCUGCCAUGAUAAUCCUAUUUGUCCCUCUGGAUAUAAGCAUCUGCGAAAUGAAUGCAAACUACUGCUUAAUAAUAAUAAUAAUAAUAAUAAUAAUAAUAAUAAUAAUAAUAAUAUGUUUUGUUUACUUUGCAGUACUGUACACCAUGGUGUCCUCUAGUGGACAAGCUGGGGAAAUGUACGUGUCUGUUUCUAAAGCACUUAACCAGAACAUGAUCUCGAUGGAUUUUAGUUUGAUACAAGUCUUGCCUGUUUGUUGUACUGGGAAUUCUGUUAGAGCUGGAAAAUGUCUCGUUAUGCCUAAUCAAACUGAUGUAGUAGUUUCAUCCUGAAGAUCGCGGUAGUCUCCCCCCCCCCCCCCAUCUAUUAAGUAGCCAAGAAGACGUGAAGUGUUUGCUUGAGCCUUUCAAUUCCCCAGCAGGAGGCCUUAAUUAGGAUCGUAUCCUGUUGGUUCAGGUAUCACAAUGUACUCUGUGUACUGGCCUCUGUUUUACCAAUCGCUGGCUCCACGGACGAUUUAUGAGGGUGGUACUGAGCUCAAGGUCCAGAGUUUCUAAUGGAGUGGUGGUGGGAUUCUGAUAAUUCAGCUCAUCUCUGAAAGACUUUGGAGCCGUGUAGCAUAAAGUCUAAUGCUUCGCUAUUCACGGAGUUCAGUCCUGAUAGCAGUUAUUUCUUGUUUGGGAGCCUUGCAAAUUACAGCAUCCAGGGUGAGCUGCAGUGCAGUGACUCCUUAUGGUGACAACUUUUUUAAAGGCAGGCAUGAGUAAGACUGGUAUCGAUUAUUAGAUCAGCUCUGUCCUAUAUGAGAUUCAUUACAUUUAAAAAAAAAACUUUGACUGCAACUGAGCCUGAAUGAUCUUAUUAUGGAAGACCGAUGGAGUAUGAUUUGUUCACUGAACUGCAAUGACCAGCACUGAGGUGACUCAAAAAGUUGAGAUCAUUGUGAAAUUUUUCCUGGAAGAGGCCUGCUCUGAAGCAUCUUUCUUGAUUUAAAAAUGUAUCAUUAAUCUACACCACAGAAGGAUGCCAAAACAGUAUUGUCCAUCAUAGUAACAGAUUUAUGCAAGAAUGGGAGUGAAUUUAUAGUGAAUUCAAGAUUUGUUCAUUUGUUUGGGCAAGUGUGUUGUUAUAAUAAAUGUUACUUAUAACGAGAGCUUCUGAUGAAUAGCUCUACCAAUAUAAAAGGAAGUAGGGUAAUAAUUGUAGCAUUUAGCUGGCUGCCUGCUUCAUGCAGUUCUUCAGCAAAUGUCUUUUUGAUGUAAAUAAGGGGUUGCUAAGUAUACAUCCUAUUGCAAAUAUGUGUGUUCUUGUUUUAUAUUUCAUGUUUGGCUUUCCUUUUUUUACCGCAUAUGUGACUUAACCCUUUGACUGCAUGACAGCGAGUUGCUGUUAAAUACGAACUGACAGUCCAAAGUGAUGUCAGUGACGUGGCUCCUGUCCCAAGGGCCCGAGAGCGGGCGUGCGUGUGUGUGUGUGUGUGUGAGUCAACAUUCACCAGCCUUGUGUGUGUGUGCUCUGUUUUCUCAGACCACAGCUAUUGCUUCACAAGAGACCAAGCCGGUCUCUCAAGCAGCCAGCUCCCAGGAUUACAUCAGCACAGCGUGUGCAACAAUUGCUUUCCAGAGCUGGGGCGGAGGGGACAAAGAGGAACAAAGAGAAUUGAGACACAAUAUGUGGGGAAAAAAAAAAUAUAUAUAUAUGUAUAUAGGACUGAUGACCUUUUUAAAAAAGGAAAAAAAAAAGCUACACCGAUGGAGUCCAUAUGAAUAUAUGUGGGCCUGAACUGAAAGAGUACAGCAACAUUGUGUAAUUUAAGCAGAAAAAAAUUUGUCAUUCAACAUUUAGAAAAUGCCAGGUGUGAACAGAGCUUGACUUAUUUCCUGGAUGUUUGGGGUUUCUGAGAGGUCAGCAGCAAUGUUGCACGAGGCACGUGGCGCAACUUUGAGCUGUUGGUCUGGUGCUGUGUGCUUCAUUGGCUACCUGAUACGUGGUGCGUAGUUGAUGUGAUCUUUGCUUAGAAUCAGAGAUUAAUCUUUGCAAUCCUAUGAUCUGAAUAAAAUUUCAGGAAUGGCAGCAUCAUCUAUUACGUAUUCACUAACCCGGCAGAGGUUGUGGCGACUGUUCAGCAGGUUGUCUCCUUCUGUGUAAAACCAGUUUAUAAUGAUAUACUGAAAGCCAUUUGCUCUGCUUUGAUGUCAUACAGAAGCUGACAAUGAGACAUUUCUUCCUUUGUUUAAUAAAUGGUAUUAUAUUAAAAAAAAGGACCAUGUUAGGCACUGGGGAAGUGCUGUCUCUUUUAGCCAAUCCAAUCUUAUAUAUAACACGUAUUGAUGUCUUAAAUGAAUGAGAUGACAAAAUAUCAGUGUAGGUUCUGUUGGCAGGAGCCCAGGUUGAACUCUUAACUAAAAGUCCCACAAAGGAGGAAGAAUAAAUCUAUAAAAGUAGCAUAUUUUGAUAAACUAGUCAAACCUGUCUAGCCAUUGUGGCUGUUUGGCUGUUCCACAAAGGAAUGUGCCAACACAGGCCUUUUCUUUUCAUUGUGAGCCAGAGGAAAGCCAUGGUAGAUUAAAUAUGUGAUAGCAACCAGGCACCACUGCUGCCAAGAUGAAACUGCACACUGGACAGAAGGAUAAGAUAGAAAUCUACAGUGCUUAGAUGAGGACUUGAGCGAUCCAUCUUCAGAAACCUUCCUUGACAUAUGACAAAGGCGUGAUUACUGGCAAUAAAUGUCUGGUUGUUUCUGGAGAAACUGUAAAAGAUAUGAUUUUGAAUGUCCUAGAUUUAUAUCCUGUACUUGAAAUCCUAUGAGCAGGCUAGCAGGCCAGUAGCAACCUUAACAACCCUGAUAUGUAGUAAUUAUCACACUCUGAGAUUGUGACACAUACACACAUUCCCAUUUUAAAAACACAAGUGGUCUGUUAGUCCUGGCUGCACCAGUCCCACAGAAAGAAACCGUAUUCCCAUGAUGAGUAAGCAUUUGCAACUGAUGUUAACUUAAAACAUUUUACUGUGCAUCCUAGGCUAUCAUUUUGAAGCCAUAUCUCUGCAGUAGGGUUAUAAAUAUCCACUGAUAUACUGUAACUGUCAACACAUAUGCUGCAUGUGCUAAUUAUAUAUGUUUAUGUAAUUCUUUAUCAAGGAGUGUCUGCGCACUAGAUAAUACAGUAACUUGCAUGGUAUAUUAUGCGUGAUUGUUUUGUGGCUUUUUAUUAUUGGUACAAUUAGCAUGCAGAAUUUCAUUUUCUAUAUUUGAUAUUUUUAAUAAAAUGUUUUGCUUUGG